AAGUCGAGCGGAAACGAUCCUAGCUUGCUAGGAGGCGUCGAGCGGCGGACGGGUGAGUAACGCAUAGGAAUCUGCCCGGUAGUGGGGGAUAACCUGGGGAAACCCAGGCUAAUACCGCAUACGUCCUACGGGAGAAAGCAGGGGAUCUUCGGACCUUGCGCUAUCGGAUGAGCCUAUGUCGGAUUAGCUAGUUGGUGAGGUAAUGGCUCACCAAGGCUGCGAUCCGUAGCUGGUCUGAGAGGAUGAUCAGCCACAUCGGGACUGAGACACGGCCCGAACUCCUACGGGAGGCAGCAGUGGGGAAUAUUGGACAAUGGGCGAAAGCCUGAUCCAGCCAUGCCGCGUGUGUGAAGAAGGCCUUCGGGUUGUAAAGCACUUUCAGUGAGGAAGAAGGCCUUGAGGUUAAUACCCUCGAGGAAGGACAUCACUCACAGAAGAAGCACCGGCUAACUCCGUGCCAGCAGCCGCGGUAAUACGGAGGGUGCGAGCGUUAAUCGGAAUUACUGGGCGUAAAGCGCGCGUAGGCGGCUUGAUAAGCCGGUUGUGAAAGCCCCGGGCUCAACCUGGGAACGGCAUCCGGAACUGUCAGGCUAGAGUGCAGGAGAGGAAGGUAGAAUUCCCGGUGUAGCGGUGAAAUGCGUAGAGAUCGGGAGGAAUACCAGUGGCGAAGGCGGCCUUCUGGACUGACACUGACGCUGAGGUGCGAAAGCGUGGGUAGCAAACAGGAUUAGAUACCCUGGUAGUCCACGCCGUAAACGAUGUCGACUAGCCGUUGGGCUCCUUGAGAGCUUUGUGGCGCAGUUAACGCGAUAAGUCGACCGCCUGGGGAGUACGGCCGCAAGGUUAAAAC
rnacentral:rRNA from 1 species